CCUGAUCCUCUCAUUUCUGGCAUUUGUGCUUGGAAACAGACAAGACAGCUUACUAGCAGAGGAGCUCAAGUUGGAAAACAAAGAUGAUGGAAAUGCUUAAAACAAGUUAAGGUAGUAUGACACAGACUAACUCCUACUAAGCCAAUCCUCACUAGAAUGAGCACAAAACAAAUGAAUAACAGCUUUUGUACAUCAACAUUAAAAUGGGAAGAAGCUUGGGAAAGGGCCUCCAACAGAGAAGAAUGCUGACAAGUGCAAAAAUGCCUGAUGGAUAAGCACCACCUUCUAAACAUAGAUCAGCCAGACAUGGAAGUGAUUUCAGAAGAGAAAUGCAAUCAUGGAUUACACACCAGCUCAUUAGAAACUGUUGCUGAAUACAGCAUCCAGAAGACAUGCAUGAAAAGUCACAUUUGGGGAAUAAAUUAAAAGGGGUGUAGUUGUUGCUAGAUAAACAUAUGUAAUAUAUAUGCAUUGAAGAGGUUUGUAAAUGUCAUUUUUUUUAUUCAGACGGAAAGCAAAAAGCUUUAAAACCUUUCACAGUAGAGACAGUUAACUUCAGACUAUUCCUAUCCCAGUAGCCAAGAAGCUGUUAGGACAUCUCUCUUAAAUUAGCAUUUAUAGACUCUGAAUGUUUCCAUCACCUAGUGGAAAAAGCAUAACUUUUACUGCUACAUUGCUGCACUUCAUUUACUUCACUGUAUAAUAAGUUGACUAAAACUGUAAAGCUUCUCAAUUUUUAAUGCAUAUGUGUUCCAAUUAAUAUGUCUGUAACAAACUUAAGGCUCAAAAAUUAUUUCUGACCUAUAUUCUAGUUCUAUGAAGCAUAUAUAUAAGGUAUGUCUGACUGAAUAUCACAAUGCUAUAAAAUUUCCCAAGAUGCAUAGAAUUGUUUGCAUUUGAAGUGACAAAAUAAAAGCUCUUGAUUUCUUUUUUAAUAGGAGAAAGUAAUUUACCCCUUAAAUGUAACACACUGCUGCUUGCUUUCAGGGUGUUUCUUUUCCUUGUUCUGCCAUACAACUGUGGAGUGACACUCUCUGGCCCAUGCUAAUGCCAAUCAGACAAGGUGAUCUAAUGAGACCUUCUGGCCUUAAGUUUAAACUCAAUGCAACUCAGUAAACCCUUGAGUUUAAACUCAAUACAAAAAUUAAGAAACUAUUAAGCAAAUACAUGUUUCAGACAGCCAUGUGAGGGCUGGAUGCAAACAGCCCUGGGGCACUGGCAGGGAAGUGAUUCCCUCCCCAGGUCCCAAAGGGCACUCUCAGUUCCAGAAGCCACUGAGAAGUAAAACAGGAGUAGGCACAGAAAGACCUCGUAGUGAAAGGCCUGGAUACCAAGCACCAGGAACAGAGCAACAGAGGGAGGCAAGGAGCCCCUCUCUGCUCCUCUCUAACACUCCCACCAAGGCACACAUCUGUCCUGGCUUAGGACUGGCCAUGAGCACCCUACAUGCCUCUAGGUUCUCCUGUAUAUCACAGAUGAACCCAGCACAAAAUGAACACUGCAGUGCUGAUUCCUUCAGGGUUUUUAAAGCCUGUUGCUUCAUUCUUUGGCUUUCAGGGGAAAUGGCUAAAGUAAUAAUUGCUAGUGUUGAUCCAAAAUAAUGCAAAAUUCUGAAGACAUGAGGUAAAUAUGAGUUAAAAUUGCUUUUUAACUAUUGAUUGCACAACACAAAUUAUUCCAGAAUUUAGUGCAUGAAUCUCAAAAAAAUUAAUUUUGAAAGAAAAAUUAUCUUUAAGCAAAUUGCCAGUAAACAAAUACAGAGAAUUAGAUAACUUUUCUAUCUAUCUACCAAGGUACCAAUGUGGCGCUGACUUCACCUAGAUGCCAGCCAAGUAAAUUUAUGUGUGAAUCUGGGCAGCAUUUAAAAAAUUAAACAACAGUUUUUAAAAUCUGAAACUACUCUUGUAACUGGAUGUGGAAAAUUCUCCUGUCUUCUAAAGGACCAGCACUAGCUGGUCAAAAACCCCACCCAAAUCAGUCAACCACCAUAAACAUCUUCCCAGUACCUGAAGGUACAUCUACCCAUUGACCUGAGGGGGAUGGAAGGUAAAAAUCAAGCAGCUCACACAUGAGGAAGCAUAAACUCAUUUAAGGGCCCAUUUCAGGCAGGUUUUUAAAUCUUUGAUUAGUCCAACCAGUGUCAGCUGGAAAAUGCACAUCCUCAGGGGCUGGAUACAUUCAGGAGUCCCUGUUAAGUGGUGUCUCAGCGAAGCCCAUCCUCAUUCUCUGCUCUUGUUGGCUCACAAGCACACUCGCACCUCAAAGCCUGCGAAAGGCUUUGUUAUCUGGAUGUGCUCUCAUAUCACCAUCUUCAUUUGCUCCUUGAGUUUACCUCUAUCCCACAUUAUUGCAGUCAUGGCAUUUUGCUGUGACAGAAAUCACCAAAACAGGGUUUCUCUGUAUUAUAUUAUUUUGUUUAGCAUCAUGGUGAUGGUGUAAUGUAAAAACCCUUUCUAAAUAUACACAAACAUUGCAAAAUAAGUGCCAUCACAAGACAUCGCAACCCUGUCAGGGCAGCUCAGUGAAUAUGUAUCAUUUGUACACAGUCAGAAGGAGAGAUGUACCAGGAUGUACACCAUUAAAUGUUGACUCAGUAAGAAUAGUAUGUUUUAUCUUUUUAAAUGUUACCACUUUCUCAUUCCACUCCAUUGUAACUUGUCAAUUGUAAUUUCUUUUUAAGUCAACAAACUGUAAAGAAAACUGUUGAAAUACCUGAUUUUCUGUAAAAGUAAUAAUAACAAUAAUUUUUGUUACUUCAAAGUAUGCUUGGUAUUAAAGUACCUAAUAAAGUUCAACAAUGACUUUUGUAGCAUACUAAAA